CAAUUCUGACAAACUCCAAGCAUUGAUUAUGCAGAAUGGGCUGCCAUCCGUCAGGAUGUGGCCCAGAAGUUAAUUGACAGCAUGCCAGGGUGGAUUGCAGAGGUCUUGAAAAAGUAGGGUCAACACUGCAAAUAUGACAUCAACUUCAUGUAAUUGUCAAUAAAAGCCUUUGGCACUUCUGAAAUGCUUGUAAUUAUACUUAAGUAUUCCAUAGUAACAUCUGACAAAAAUAUCUAAAGACCUGAGGCAGCAGACUUGUGAAAAUGUAUAUUUGUGUCAUUCUGAAAACCUUUGGCCACGACUGUACUGUAUGGGCUUUGGUGUAGUGUACCUGGAAGUUGACCUCUGACUUCUCUUGUCAUCUCUCUCAUUCACAGGUACAGUGGGUUGGUGCCGCGAUGGGUUCAAUGUGUCUCAUUGCUGGAAUCUGUGUAAUACUUUGGUUUCUUAAGAGGAGAAAAGAUACCUCAUCCAGGUAGAGAUACAAAUAUUACCUUGAAACAAAAAAACAGUUACUAUGAAUUUAAUAUGUGAUUUGACUGCCAGUUGUUUACCAGUUGAUCUCUAAUUUGAUGUACAGAAAAUCCCCCGUGUCUGACCCAGAAUUCAUCAGGACUCCAACAAAGACGACAACUGAAUGGGAAACGCCAACCUCCAGUCCACCAACCAGGGACACACAAACCUUCACUCCAUCACGAAUGUGAAUAGUUUUACAACUUUAUUUCAUUAUCUUUAUAAAGUGCUUGAAACAGGGAAGAAUAAACUUUACAGAAGAAUGAUGUACUUCUGUGGUGGUCAUAGAGUAGUCAUGGUGACAGCAUCAUGUACUCUGCUGCAUGUUGAUAACUGUUCUGCUUUGUGACUCAUCAUGUCACUAAUGCACUAGAUAUUCUCUCAACUUGGGAAAGAUGUGUAUUUCUUUAAUCAAAGAGUGGUCAUGUUUAUUAUGUCAGUGUUUACAUCACUGUCUGCAGGGCCGUUUCUAGCUUUUUGCCCUUCCUCUUGGCAGCUUAAAAGUUAUUGUCCUGCAAUUCAACAGUAUGUUGAGACCCCGACUGACUUCCUAAAACAUAUGAUAUUUACUGUAUAUAAAAACAUUGUUUUGGUUGGGGGCCCCCUAGUGGCUGUGGGGCCCUAAGCAACCGCUCACGUCACUUAAGCCUAGAAACGGCACUGACUGRCUGUUUCCAUAGAUAAUAUGGUUCUUAUCAAUACAUUGACCAUGUUCAUUUCUUUCAGGACCACACCAAUCUCCAGUCCAUUCAAAAUGUGAGUAUUUGUACAACUUUAUUUGAUCGUCCUGGUAGAAUGCUUGAAACAGAUGAUUGUGAAUGUUAAAAUGGGUUACAAUAACCCCAAAAUUCAAACAUUACUCAAAAAUGUACUUUCAGGUUAGACUCCCUCAGCUCCUCAGCCAAGCGUAUGAUGCAACAAGCACAAGGUGUUGUAAAGAAGUAGGUUUAAGUCCUCUUGUUUUUUGGGCGGGUGUUUUAUACCGUAUUCUCUCAUUGAACGAGAAGCYCUGGAAUUAUGUUUUGAGGUGGUAGUCAUGGUGACUGCAUACAUGCAAAUUAGUUGCAUUUGCUGCAUUGUUGUUAUGUUACUCACAUCACUAAUAUAGUAUACUCCAUUCAGUCAAUAUUUAAAUGACCUUCUUUUAUGCAGAAUAUCUCCUGAGAGACCAGAUGACCUGCAAUGUAGAAGGUGAGCUGAAAUCAUUACAAAUAAUUACAAAGAUGCAGUCAGAAGUAUAUAUUUUUUAAUAAAUAUCUAUGCCAUUCUGUUGUAUCUUUCUUAGGAAACUUUUAGAGGGUGACGAGAACUGAGGGACUUACCAUACUGCCUCACACAUCUGUGUGGUUCGGUUUCUAUCCAUAGGCAUUGUGGGUACUGAAUAGUGGACUGAAUGGCUGACACACAUAGGCCYGCUGGUUGUUGUAUAUCUAAAUACAGUCUGUAUGUAAAUAUAUUUUAUAGUUGGUUAAUGAUGAAACAUGAUAAAUCCACACUAGACUUGUUUGUGGUUUUAUUCUUCACUUAUUUAUAAAUCAAGUGUGGUGAAAUUUAUAACCUACACAAUGUCAUAAUGUCGACAACUUCAUGGUGUGUGUGGUUUUUCUUUCUUCAGUCUUAUAAAUCAAAUGUUUUUUAUGAUACGCAAUGUUGUACUGUCCUUGGUUGUGUGUGUUUGUUUUCUACUUUAUCAAUACAAUUUUAAACAACUUGUAGUGUAUGUUGUGACAUCAGCUUGUUAUACAGUGUGUCAUAAAUCUGCUGCUGGGAAUGCUUAAAAAAUGAAUUGUCUUUGAUUCUUCUAACAUCAAGAGACCAACCGAAGUUACAAACAAGUGCCACUAGGGGUCGCAUAAAUAUAAUUUUAGGGAGAGAGGUCGUAGAGAAACGGGUUUGAUACUAGUGUUUGCAGCUGACUCUGUGUCUCAUGAAGAGGCAGAACACAUCACACCCUGGUCUGUUUACUUUAAAGACUUUUGAAACAUGGAUGUGAUAGUCAGUGUGCCAGAUUGUUUUACCCCUACACAGAGGACAUAAGUAAGUCUCACUAACUCCUUGGUCAUGUUAACUGACAUAGUAUCUCAUAGACCAAAACGUAUAAGAUAUCCUAAGCCUGUGUUAACCUCUGACCUUAUUUUCAGCGUUUAUCCCAAAACCUAUCUUUCUCCAUUAAUUUUUCCCAUAGAAAGGGCGUGAACGAACCAGAGGUAACUAAUUUUCCCCAUGGGAAGGUCUGAAUGAAUGAGAGGUAACUCAUUUCCCCAUUGGGAAGGUCUGAACGAAUCAGAGGUAACUCAUUUUCAGUUUUUAGGACUACAAGGCUGGAGAGCUCUAUAACCAGGAAAAACUCAAACACUUACCUUGACAGAAAUACUCAACGCAAAAGAUGUGUUCCUCCAUAAUGUGAAGACUGACAGGUGUAGUUCCCUUCAGCAAAGGCUGUAUGUUGGUGAUGUGUAGAAACAUUCUGCCACUCUCUAUCUGUAGUGUGACUCUGGGGUCACAAGUGCUGUCUGGACGUUUUGGGUCAGAUCAAUAUGACAAGACACUCAUCCCUCUUCACUCUAUUUAAAUAACAUAUCAUUUGAGUAAUGUAACUCAGUGUUUGGUUGUGGCAGAUUAGAGGAACUGCUGCUCCUCCUGUUCCCAACGUUUUCACUUGAGUCUGCAAACAGGAAGAGAAGCAGAUUCUGAGAGUAUUUUUUCAUAUGAUAGGUUUGAUUGAUCAUGAAGCUAAAGGUAGGAAAGUGAAAGGAACAGUUUAUUCUUAAUGACUAUUAAAACUGCAAUGAACAAUUACUGUGUAGGACUAACUCCUGUAAGUAGUGUAACAAGUACUGUAAUUACUCAUGUGUUACCUGUACUUAGGGUACAAAUAAAUUG
ensembl:lncRNA